rnacentral:tRNA from 1 species
GGUUGUUUAGUUUUAAGGAAAAUGCGGAUUUUGUAAUUCUGUGAUAACUUGUUAGUUAAUAACCU